rnacentral:rRNA from 1 species
CUUUACUGUAGCCUGGUAUUGGGUUCGGGCUUUGACUGCGCAGGAUAGGUGGGAGACUAUGAAGCAAUCCUUGUGGGGGUUGCUGAGUCAACGGUGAGAUACCACUCUGUCAGAGCUAGAAUUCUAACUAAAUGCCGUUAUCCGGCUUUGGAACCGUAUCAGGUGGGCAGUUUGACUGGGGCGGUCGCCUCCUAAAAGGUAACGGAGGCGUACAAAGGUUACCUCAGACUGGUUGGAAAUCAGCCGUAGAGUGUAAAGGCAGAAGAGAGCUUGACUGCAAGAGCUACAACGCGAGCAGGGUGGAAACACGGCCUUAGUGAUCCGACGGCGCUGAGUGGAAGGGCCGUCGCUCAACGGAUAAAAGUUA